AUUGAACGCUGGCGGCAUGCCUUACACAUGCAAGUCGAACGGUAACAGGUCUUCGGAUGCUGACGAGUGGCGAACGGGUGAGUAAUACAUCGGAACGUGCCUAGUAGUGGGGGAUAACUACUCGAAAGAGUGGCUAAUACCGCAUGAGAUCUACGGAUGAAAGCAGGGGAUCGCAAGACCUUGUGCUACUAGAGCGGCCGAUGGCAGAUUAGGUAGUUGGUGGGAUAAAAGCUUACCAAGCCGACGAUCUGUAGCUGGUCUGAGAGGACGAUCAUGCGCCCAGGGACUGAGACCCGGCGCAGACUCCUACGGGAGGCAGGAGUGGAGAAUUUUGGACAACGGGCGCAAGCCUGCUCCUGCAAUGCCGCGUGCAUGAUGAAGGCCUGCGGGUUGCAAACUCCUAUUGUACGAAACAAAAAGCACUGGCUUAAUACCCAGAGGUCAUGCCGGUACCGUAAGAAUAAGCACCGUCUCACCACGUGCCAGCAGCCACCGUAAAAC
rnacentral:rRNA from 1 species